UACGAAGGGUGCAAGCGUUAAUCGGAAUUACUGGGCGUAAAGCGUGCGUAGGCGGUGAUUUAAGUCUGCUGUGAAAUCCCCGGGCUCAACCUGGGAAUGGCAGUGGAUACUGGCAGGCUAGAGUGCGGUAGAGGAUGGCGGAAUUCCCGGUGUAGCAGUGAAAUGCGUAGAGAUCGGGAGGAACAUCUGUGGCGAAGGCGGCCAUCUGGACCAGCACUGACACUGAGGCACGAAAGCGUGGGGAGCAACAGG
rnacentral:rRNA from 1 species